GGGUGGGGGGCAGUGGGUGGGGAGUUCCCUGGCGGCUUUAUGCCCAUGAUUCCCAGACCUACUCAUUCGGCCCCACUCACUUCUGCAUCCGCUUAUUUUUCCCAAAUAGGUGGGUCUUUAGCAUCUCAAACUCAGCAGCCCAAACACUAUGUUUUUGCCAGAGACACCGCCAUUCUGCCAGUCUCCGGGUCAGAAUCUAGGUGGCAUCCUCCAUUCUUCACCGACCUCCCCACGCCCAGAGCCGGCCUAUUGGCCAUCCAUUCGAAACUCCAGGAUGUUGUUUCCCUGGGCCGCUGGGUGGCUCAGUGGAUGGAGAGCCAGGCCUAGAGACCCAGGUCCUGGGUUCAAAGCUGGCCUCAGACACUUCCUAGCUGUGUGACCAAUGAGUCACUUGACCCCCUGGCCUUGCCCUUACCACUCUUCUGCUUUGUAGCCAAUACACAGUAUUGCUUCUAAGGAGGAAGGUGAGGAUUUAUUUUAAAAAAGAAUGUUGUUUCCCUGAGCUCCAGCCCCACCUCUCUGCCAGCCCACAAGACAUCUCAAAGUGGAGGGUCUCUAGAUGUUGCAAACGCAAGUCUCGUUCUCUUGGUCCAAGAAUCCCUCUCCCUGUUUCUGUUGAGGCUAUCACGAUCUCGCCGGUCUCCUAAGGAGGUCAUCUUGAACUCCCUUCUCCCAUUUCCAAACUGCCAUUCUCCAUUUCUUUGUUUAGUCCUCUGUCUCAGAAUGGAUAUCAAGUAUUCCAAGAAAAGCAGUAAGAGCCAGGCAGUUGGGGUUAAGUGACUUGUCCAGGGUCACACAGCCAGGAAGGGUCUGAGGUCCUAUUUGAACUCGGGACCCCCCAAAUGCAGGCCUGGCUCUGUCCACUAAACCACCUAGGUGUUCCAUCUCCCCCACUUCUUGGCUCAAGUGUACAUGAAGCUGUUCUGGUCCCCGCGCUCCUUGUUUCUGCCUCCCCAAACUCACACACAUGCGGGUCUAAAUGCGGGCUCCUAGGCACUGCUGAUGCUGCCCUGGUCCCAAAUGCCUGUCUCCCAAGGAUGUUGGAAGACGAGAAGCCCCUCCUUGGAAAGGGACAGCUCGCUCCCAGGAUUUGGGGGCCCUGCCGCCCCGGCUGGGACCCAGCCCUGGGAAAGUCCUUCCGGGGGGGGGGUGAUUUUCCCCUUUUUCUGGACAGACUCAGCUCUUCCUCAUUUAAAAUCACCACCACUACCACAAGGCUUUCCAUGGAGCCCAGAUUCCCUUCCCCAAGAGUGGAGAACAGAUUUGGGGGCUGCGGCUCUGGGGAUUUGGUGCCAACAGCCUCCCAGAGAUCCAAGUGUGAGAAGCAAGUUGUCACUUGAUGUUCAGAAUUGGCACCGGCUCUGCGCCUCCGAGACAGGACUGUGGGCCAAGCUGGGGGGGGGGGGGGGGUCCAUGGUUAAUUUGCUCGCUGGCCAGCCCGGGAAUGUGUUAGGCCUCCGUGGCCCCCAGGAGAGGGGUCAAGGCACCCUCGUGCCCUCUGCCCCAAUCCAUACAGUGUGCCCGCCCCACCGAGGAGAGGCACAGCGUUGUCAAACUGGGGGGACCUCAGAGAAUAUCGAGGCUCUCCACACGCACAAUACCAGGCCUGGGGAGGAAAGGAGGAAACUGAAACUGCUCGCCUUCUGCUGAGUCCCAGCCAGGCCACUAGAGGCCAUUUACCAAACAAACACCCCAGGGGCAGGGAGCUAGCCGGGUGAGGGAGGGUGCCCCACUUAGCAGAGCUGGGAUGGUGCAGUGGAUGAAAUUCGGGGCCUGGACUCAGGAAAACCCAAGUUCACUUCUGGUCUCACUCACUAACUGGAUGACCCUGUGCAAGUCAUUUCACCCCUGCCUCAGUUUCCUCACCUGUAAAAGGGGAAUCACAACAGCCCCUCCCUCCCAGGAUUGUGAAAAUCCGAAAGACGGUCUGCAUAAAGCAUUCCAUCCAUGGUGGCUCUUAUUAUUACAGGAGGUAAAGGCAAGGGCUUGUCACACCUGGGAAAGGGCAGAGAAGCAGAAGGAUGGGGCUCAGCCUGGAGGCCAGUUUGGAUGGAGGCCUCCAGGUGUGUGCAAGGGCUCAGGAGUCAGAAGGGCCGGAUGAAGACAAAGGGACUUCCCUCCGUAGGCGCCAGCAAGCCCACUCUAGAAAUGGCAGAAGCAGGCAGCAAAGCGAACGGAGGGCCCUUUCUCUCUGGCGUAAGUGGGCUUUGAGUCAGCUGCCCUGAGGAGGAGCCCCAGCGAGCUCAGACCGUGCCCUGGUCCUUCCUGGUCCGUGUGGAUUGGAGGAAGAGCUCUGACGCCUUUUACCUUUGUUGAAAAGGCUUUUGAGUAGAAGAGGGAGAGGAGAGAGGCCCAGAAGGCCCCAAACAAGCCGGGAGAGACAGUGGUGGGGCCUGGAGAGCAGAGCAGGGCUAGCGAUCCCCGACCGCAAGGGCUGAGCCCUUUCCUUUCCUUUUGCAUUGGGAUUUUCAGGUCCAAAUUCUCUCCUCUACCCAGUGAGCAGGCAGAAGUAAUCGUGAGAAUGCUGGCCCCCGGCUGCCUUCAUUUCUGUUAAAGCUUGCUGAGUGCUGAGCUCUGGCUUUCAUCGGAGUCUUCCAAAGGAAAAGGAGGAGGCAGAGAGCUCCCCUUGGGCCAGGGAGAGGCUUGCCCGCAUAAACACUGAACGAAGGGCUGGCGAAUUCAUUCAGAACCACUGGGCAAGCUAGGGAGGCCCUGUUGGCCUCUACAAGACUGGCAAAGAGAAGAGUCAAGGGGGAAGCCCCCGGGGCCCUUCUGAGGGUCACCCUUUAAGAGCCGAGCAAGGGCAAAAGAAGGCGAAUUCUUUUCUUCUUCCCUCCACGUUCAUGGAGCCCCCAAAUCCAGAAGGGGGUGGUCUGUGGCCCCGGACGCGGAGACUGGACCUGGCUUGGGCUUUUUCAAAACCUCCCAAGGCUCCAGUGGAUGGUUUGAUUACAUGGAAAAUUCUUCACAUUAAAAACAAACAUCGCAACAACCAGCAAAUUGGCAAAGAUGACCAAAGAUGGAGAUGGGCCGUGGUGGACGAGUUCUGGAAAGAUGAGCCCCCUCGUGCAUGGUUCGUGGACCUGCGAAUCAAUCUAACCAUUGAGAAUCGCCCGAGAAAGUGACCGAGAUGGGUCCCUGCUGAGCCAGAGACUGCCGGCGAGGCCUGUAACACCCAAGAGGGGCCUCCUCGUCCUUCUAGGCAGAGCAGCCAUGUUUAGGGUGGAAACAACAACGCCAGCUAGUGGUGCGGAUUUGCCCCGCUUGGGUUCCUGAGCCUUGUAGAGCUCACUGAGCUGUCACUGCAGAGAGGCGUGGAACAAUGUGGAAACUGAGGCAAAGUGAGAUACGUGGCAGCAGGAAAGCCGUCUAUACGGGGAGGGCAGCAGACGGUAAAGUCGUCGGGAACCCUGUGGCCCCCACAGGGCAGGGGAGCAGACGGACAGACGUGAAGGAGCCCGGGUGGGAAAGCUUCCUCUCUUUCAUUCUUUAUCAUAAGGAACGGCUCCCUCGGAAGGAGAGGGAGGACAGGGAUCCUGGGAGAGCUGGGUAAAGAGAACCAGCUGGGGCCUCCGGGGCGCAGAGAAGGUGCCAGCCCUCACUGGCACCAGCCGGUAAGAAAAGCCCAGCCCCGAGGGGCUCCCCUACCCCUCCUCUCUGUUCUCGGGGUCCUGGGCUGCUUUGUUGGGCCCUCUCUGAUCUAGAACCAGGGAGUGUCGGCUCUAGAACACAGCUUGAGUCUUGCGUCUCCCUCGGAAUUCCGGGCCCGACCUCUCCAAGCCGCACAGCACCUCUUGUUAGAGACGUUGUGUGGUUGCCUUAGAACGUAUCAGGGCGCUGGCAGAGGGAGUCCUCUGUUCUUGGGCCAGCUCCGGGAGCCUCCAUAUAACUGGAGAGCAAGCCCCAAGAAGACACGCCCGGGCCGUGGAUUCGCACCAGCGCCCGCUCUCCUUGGCUGCUUGGGUCCCCAGGGAGAAGCUCUUUGGGGUUAUAGGGGAGCCCUUGGGGACCGGGGCCUCCUAAGCCCCAACCAGCGGGUACCCCAUCGCCAACCAACUAAGAAAGCUCUUUGGGAAAGGGUUGCCUAAAGGGAUGGCCAGAACAGCUACCAGCCCUGCCCCACCCCCACGUAGGUCCCCCGGGGAGUAGAGGCGCUUUUGUGGAGCCCCCCAGGGUGGGGCCUCCCUUCAGGUGGACGUGGGCCCGGAGCUGCUGCUGGCUUUGGCCUGCAGAGAAGGCGGAGCAAGAGGAAGACAGUCAAAAAUGGCGGAGCCCCGUCAGAGGAGCAUCAGAAGAGCCAAGCUGGCUCCGAGCGAGAUGGAUUCGGAGGCAAAUAGCAAGCAGUGCUCAGGAGUGCGGGGGAGGCCAGGAGGGCAUGAGCGAGGCCCUAAGUCCACUGCGGGAGAGGAGGGCCGGGGCGGCCCAGGAGCCCCCCCCUCCUUCCCUCUGAGGAGAACCCUCUUCAGACCGGGGGAAAGAACCAAAAUGGCCGCCCCGAGUCCGGAGCCCCGCAGGAGCUGGCCUCCUCGUAGGCCACCCCGGAGUCGGGCCCAAGUCUGGCUGCAAAGGGGCCGCUCCUCCGGCUCUCCUUCCUCUUUCUCGCCGCUGGGCACCGGACGCUUUUCUGCUGGAGUCGCCUUUGGACUCAUCCACGCCCUCUCGUCUCCCCAGGCACAUCCUCAGCCCUUCCCAAGGAAGCCUGGGACAGAGGGCCGGCCUUCCCCAGGGCACUCUGGGAGCUGGCGCCCCCUUGACGAGCCGCCUAUCCACAGUGAAUGGGGAGGGCCUUUAGGGGCUUCUCCGGCCCCCUGGUGCUGGCUGGGAGUAGAGCUUAGACUGUGGAGGGGAGGACCAGCCUGGGGCCCAGAGCUCCUCUGGCCGGGCAGGCCAGCCCGAGUCCCUCAGAUGGAGCUUUGGUUGGCUGAAAUUGGAGAGAAAGGCGGACAGCCAGAGCUCGCACACAGACCCUGGAGGGCCCUGCAAAGGCUACCCCUGGUUGGCCAAACGGCAGGCCUGGUGCUGGGCUCUGGCACAGUGUCAAGGUCUAGGACUAGCCUGCGGGAAGAGACCACAGCUGCGCUCUCCAAAGAUGCCUGCAGCCUGGGGAGGAAAAGCCUCCUCCUUCCGGCCUCCCCCAAGAGGGGCCGUUGUGCCAUCGGAUUGGUCAGAGCUGUGUGCCGAGGCUGCGUGGGGAGGAGGCCAGCCCCAGCCCGCUGCCAGGAGCUCAGAGGAAGGAAGAAGGAAGUCGGGCCGGGGCACGGGGGGUGGAGAGGCCACGGAAGGGUCCGCAGCCCCCUCCCAAAGCCCGACGGUCCGCUUCACACAGGGGAGGCCAUCCUGGCGACUGAGGAGCAAUCCUCCCACAAGAGAAGCCUGGGAGUGCGGGGGCGCUGGGCCGGCCCAGAGCGAGGAGCAGAGGCCGGAAGCAGCCACAGCCAGAGAGGACAUGGCCAUCCGGGCUGCUGGCUCUAAAGGGGCCUCCGCAGGGCCGAGCAGGUGGGGCGAAGGCCGGGGCUUCGGGGCAACGAGGCCCAGGGCGCCUCUGCUCCAGACGGAUGGGGCUUCCAGGGCGCCUCCUUCCUACCGUGCCCGCAGGGGGAGACCCAACGGGGGCCAAGCUGGCCUGAGCUGCACUUCAGUCCUGGAGAAGGAGGGUGCUGCGGGAGCCGCCAGCGCCUUUGGCCACCUGCCACGCCGCCAGGUUUUUCAUUCCUUUCAGAAGCAGCCUGGCCGGAAGUGGUGGGGCCGACGCUCGGGUCCUUCUGCACCUGCCUGGUCCUUAGCUGCCUCUCCUGCCCCACGAAUUCCAUAAGAGUCCAACAGGUCUCCGGCACGUCCUCGGGACGCAGCUGAAGGGCUCCCGCCAGACCGGCCUCCCACUUUCUCCUGUCUCCGUCCCAGGUCAGACGCCCCCUUGGGAGGCUCCGGCAAGAUGGCAGCACUCCUGGGCCACUGGGAAAUGAGGCCUCCAGCCCGGGCUCCGGUGCGCUCCUUGGACCGGGGACUCGAGGGCAGGCUCUGCCCUCCCAAACUCCACGGCUGAGUCUGCUUUCUCUUCCCCCCAGUGGCGGGCGGUGGAGCCGCAUUCCUCGCCGCGACUCCUGGGACUCCAGAGAAGAGAAAUCGGCGGAGCCGGAGGCCCGCCUAUGCCCCUGCCCGCUGCGCUUCCCAGGGCCUCCACUGCCCAAUUCCCCCCACCCUGCCUUUGUACACAGACCAGUGUCUGCAGCUGGGAUCGAGCCCAGUCCAAUUCACUUCACUUCAAUUCAACAAGCAUUUAUUAUGUGCCUGCUGGGGACCAAGUAUCGCGCUGGGCACAAUCUGCCUUCAAUGAAUUUGACUUCAAUCUCUCCGGGGACCAUUCCCUGACUCGAGGCCCACGGGGAGGGGCUACGCUGUAACUGAACCGUCUCCUGUGCCUUGGGACUCGGAAGUUGGCACAGACGGAGCUGCUCUCCCCUCUCAUUGGGUGGACUUUGGGACUCUUGCCUCCAUGUCCAAUUUUCUCCUCUGCCUUUUCUUCCCUUGUCCCUGCAGGACAGCAGUAUGAUGUGAUGGGGCCAAGCCCCGGCCUCCCCUCGUGGCCUCCAUCCUUUCAGGGACCUGCCAGUAAGUGGAAAGGAGUUCCACGUCCCACAGAGCUGAAAGGGCACCGCCUCCCCGUCCCUCUCACUCCCCCCGCAUCCCUGAAGAUCACCACCAGCCUCCAUGGGAAGAGGAGAACUCGGGGAUGGGGCACUCGGUCCCAGAUCCCCUCUGGCAAAUGAUCAGUUGGUUAAGAUGUUGCUUUAUACAGAAGUCACUCGAUCGCUGGCCUUGAGAGUAACCGAGGAAGAGAACAUGUACCAAGUCCUUCCACUGAGGCAGAAGCCCCGGCACCCCGCUUGCUGGCCAGCUGAGCAGCGCAGGCUCCGAGCUCGAUGUGGGCUUCAAUGAAAAGGACUCCCUACCUGUCGAGGGUGUUCGUCCUAGGAAGACUCCACUGGGCGCUGCGGGCAGGAAGUCUGAUUUGGGCUAAGAUGUCAUAGAUUUCACUGGUCAUGCCCUUCGCCUUCUGCCCUUUACGGAACAAGGGACUCUCUUGAUCAACCGUGUUGUGAAACCGUCAACAGGAUUAAACUCUAUAGUGAGUAUUUGGCAAGAUAAGGCAAACGCCUGUCACGUUGGCCACUCCACAGCACUGGAAGGCUACCUCGGCGAUCGGCGCGCUAAGUGCCAUUUAUGGAGGCACCUAGAUGCCACGCGAGUCCGCCGAAGCCAUCGACAAAGUACAGGUGGUUGAUGUGAAAGCGGAGCUUGCCCUCUGAGAGCUCACUCGCAAGCCGAGUCCUGAAAGGCCUGGGUGAGAAAAGAAGUGGGCCUGGGGAACAGAGAGGUCUCUGGGAGGGCACCGAUGAUGCCGGCUCAUGCCAGGUCCUCCUUCCACAGAACCAGGUCAGCAAGAAACCGAGGGGGCUGCCCUGCUCGGCGGCACUUCUAUGGAAACAACCUGGGAACAAAACCAGAGCCUCCAUGGAGCCCUCAGAAACGAUGCUUGUUGGCGUCGGCAGUGCCCAUCUUCCCACUGAGAGGCGCUUCCUGCCCCUCAGAUGCCACAUCUCGCUGGGCACCGACAUCCAGGAGAGUGCAGAGUCGCAGUCGGGAGAAAUACGAGUACCUGGCUUUUAGGGGGCAGACUAAUAGCAGUAACAUGCUAAUAUCCAGUUUGGAGAAAUUUAAAUUUCAGCUAAUACAGAGUUCUACAAGGAACCGAAUAAACACCUAAAUGAAUCUCCUGUCUCGUCUUUGCAGUGAUAUCCUUGAUUAAAGAGGAGCCAUUGCCAUCUGCUGUCUCACACCGGCUUCCUCCAUGAAGCUCCUUCAGGGCAGGGGCUGGCUCUGCUUAACAUGGCGCUCCGUACACUUACACCCUUAAUAAAUGUUCUUUCAUU